rnacentral:rRNA from 1 species
GACGAACGCUGGCGGCGUGCCUAAUACAUGCAAGUCGAGCGGACCGACGGGAGCUUGCUCCCUUAGGUCAGCGGCGGACGGGUGAGUAACACGUGGGUAACCUGCCUGUAAGACUGGGAUAACUCCGGGAAACCGGGGYUAAUACCGGAUGCUUGAUUGAACCSCAUGGUUCAAUCAUAAAAGGUGGCUUUYAGCUACCACUURCAGAUGGACCCGCGGCGCAUUAGCUAGUUGGUGAGGUAACGGCUCACCAAGGCGACGAUGCGUAGCCGACCUGAGAGGGUGAUCGGCCACACUGGGACUGAGACACGGCCCAGACUCCUACGGGAGGCAGCAGUAGGGAAUCUUCCGCAAUGGACGAAAGUCUGACGGAGCAACGCCGCGUGAGUGAUGAAGGUUUUCGGAUCGUAAAACUCUGUUGUUAGGGAAGAACAAGUACCGUUCGAAC